rnacentral:rRNA from 1 species
GAUGAACGCUGGCGGCGUGCCUAAUACAUGCAAGUCGAGCGAACAGAUGAGGAGCUUGCUCCUCUGACGUUAGCGGCGGACGGGUGAGUAACACGUAGAUAACCUACCUAUAAGACUGGGAUAACUUCGGGAAACCGGAGCUAAUACCGGAUAAUAUAUUGAACCGCAUGGUUCAAUAGUGAAAGACGGUUUUGCUGUCACUUAUAGAUGGAUCCGCGCCGCAUUAGCUAGUUGGUAAGGUAACGGCUUACCAAGGCAACGAUGCGUAGCCGACCUGAGAGGGUGAUCGGCCACACUGGAACUGAGACACGGUCCAGACUCCUACGGGAGGCAGCAGUAGGGAAUCUUCCGCAAUGGGCGAAAGCCUGACGGAGCAACGCCGCGUGAGUGAUGAAGGUCUUCGGAUCGUAAAACUCUGUUACUAGGGAAGAACAAAUGUGUAAGUAACUAUGCACGUCUUGACGGUACCUAAUCAGAAAGCCACGGCUAACUACGUG